GGGAAGGUGGCUCAGUGGUAGAGCGCUUGCCUUGCAUGCUCGAGGCCCUGGGUUC
rfam:Dipodomys ordii contig_47929, whole genome shotgun sequence.